rnacentral:rRNA from 1 species
AAGUGAAACCGCGAAUGGCUCAUUAAAUCAGUUAUGGUUCAUUAGAUCGUACCCAUUUACUUGGACAACUGUGGUAAUUCUAGAGCUAAUACAUGCAGCAGAGCUCCGACCUUUUGGGACGAGCGCUUUUAUUAGACAAGGCCAGUCGGGCGGCGUCCGUUCAUAUGGUGACUCUGGAUAACUUACGGCUGAUCGCACGGGCUCGUCCCGGCGACGCAUCUUUCAAGUGUCUGCCUUAUCAACUGUCGACGGUUGGUUAAAUGCCUACCGUGGUUGUAACGGGUAACGGGGAAUCAGGGUUCGAUUCCGGAGAGGGAGCCUGAGAAACGGCUACCAGUUCUAAGGAAGGCAGCAGGCGCGCAAAUUGCCCACUCGAAGCACGUGGAGGCAGUGACGAAAAAUAACAAUACGGGACUCUUUUGAGACCCCGUAAUUGGAAUGAGCACAGUUUAAAGCUCUUAACGAUAAACAAUUUUAGACCAAGCCUAGUGCCAGCUGUCGCGGUAACUCUAGCUAAGAAAGUGUAUAUUAAAGUUGUUGCGGUUAAAAAGCUCGUAGUUGGAUCUGUGUUCCUGUGCCGGACACUGCCUACCGGCGGUUAGUUCGGUCGCAGAACAGCCAGCCGGUUUCCCUGGAUGAUCUUCACCGGUUGUCCUUGGUGACCGGCACGUUUACUUUGAAAAAAUUAGAGUGCUCAAAGCAGGCGUGACGCCUGGACAA